rnacentral:lncRNA from 1 species
UUAUUCUCUGUAUCCAAGUUCAUCCCGAGUAAUAGUACCACGAGGAUAAUCACCAAAGCCACCAGACAGCUUUAUGAUGCCAAUGAAGCAAGAUGAGCUAUUCAAUGAAACUCGUAUUGUAAAGAAGAAGAAAGAGACUGAUUCGGAAAGGAGGGUCGAGCCUCGACUAUAUACAUGUAAGUUUUUUACUUUUCAUUAAGUAUUUUGAUUUAUUUUUAUAUAAAUUUUGAAAUACUAAUUCAAUAUAUAUAAUUUUUCAUAUAGGUUUGCUUCACAUGCAGCUGACGUGGGGGAAUUCAUACACAGUCAACCACCUAAUGAAUCGGGCGAGGCAAUCCAACUUUCGGACGAUGAUGCUGAAAGAACACUCCUUGAG